GUGCUCACUUUGGUGGCACAUACAAUAAAAUUGGAAAGUUAUAGAGAUUAGCAUGACCCCCUGCACAAAGAUGACACACGCAUUCAUGAAACUGUCCAUAAAAAA
rnacentral:snRNA from 1 species